rnacentral:tRNA from 1 species
GCCCCCGUAGCUCAGUGGACAGAGUGGUCGCCUUCUAAGCGGAUGGUCGCGGGUUCGACCCCCGUCGGGGGUG